rnacentral:rRNA from 1 species
GCCUCACUUUUCAUCCACGCCACCACCUCCGGCAAAACACACACCACCACCUCACUUACCGUCCCCUGCUCAUCUCGCACCACCACCAUGUCACCAAGCACUACCUCCUCACUUGCCAUCCCCUACUCACCACUCACCACCACCCCCAACUCACUACACACCAUCACCUCACUUUCCAUCCCCUACUCAUCACAGGCUACCACCUCCUCUAUCUCACUAUGCACCACCGCCACACUUACCGCCCCCAGCCAACCACUUGCCACCAUCUCCUCCAUCCCGUUAUCCGCCGCAUAUUCUGGCACCUCAAGCAUAUAAGUAUCCAUCUCCCCUGACUCGUCAUGUUAACACACCUCCACAGCCAAAGCCCCCUAGAAAAUCCCCGUUGUCAACAUAAUCACGGUAUUUGAUAGUAGCAUCAUCGCCAUCUUACUAUGAAGCGGGCACACCAUGUGAAUAAGCGAGCUCCCAAGCCUUGAUAUCAAGGUGUUCCUCCACGCGCUCCUAAUUAAGCUACAUCCAAACAGGAGAUCUCCACCAUGUAGUGGUGGAGACAAGAUAAACUCUUAAUUUCCUAAUAAGUAAGUUUGAGGUCAUCAACUUUUGUGCAAGUUAUCGGAUCGUUUGGAGGGUGCUUGCCUUUUGUAAUACUUCAUUUUCCA